UAGUCCACGCCGUAAACGAUGAGCACUAGAUUUUGGGGGGUAUUGACUCCUUCAGAAUCGCAGCUAACGCAUUAAGUGCUCCGCCUGGGGAGUACGGUCGCAAGACUAAAACUCAAAGGAAUUGACGGGGGCCCGCACAAGCGGUGGAUUAUGUGGUUUAAUUCAAAGCAACGCGAAGAACCUUACCUAGGCUUGAACUCCUGAGAAUUCCGGGUAAUGCCGGAAGUGCCCUUCGGGGAAUUCAGUGAGAGGUGCUGCAUGGCUGUCGUCAGCUCGUGUUGUGAAAUGUUGGGUUAAGUCUCGCAACGAGCGCAACCCCUAUCUUUAGUUGCCAGCAUUUAGUUGGGCACUCUAGAGAGACUGCCUGGGUUAACCAGGAGGAAGGUGGGGAUGACGUCAAGUCCUCAUGGCCCUUAUGUCUAGGGCUACACACGUAAUACAAUGGUAACAAACGAAAGGGACGCGAACUCGCGAGGGGAAGCUAAUCUACAAAACUUGUAAUCUCAGUCCGGAUUGGAGUCUGCAAC
rnacentral:rRNA from 1 species